GAGGGUUUAGCUUAAUUAAAGUAUCUGUUUUGCAUUCAGAUGAUGUAGUUAUAUAGAAUUACAACCCUUA
rnacentral:tRNA from 1 species